rnacentral:sRNA from 1 species
GGAGGGAGAUCUGGCUGCACAUCUGUCACUCAUUGAUCACCAAAGUUGACUCAGCCUCUCCAGCUGACUAGACGGAUGUUCCCUUCCUCCUUCACAGCUCCAUGGGCCUCUCUCCAGAAGCUGCACGCUUGGCAGAAGAGGACUAGCUUCCCCGAAUAGAGGAGGACUAGGCCAAACAAGCUCUCAAGGUCCAUUUAUUGUGUCUUGUUAUGCCAUGUUUGGCUGGUAUCCCUGGGAGGCCUGCUCAU